rnacentral:lncRNA from 1 species
UGUCGCCCAGGCUAGAAGGCAGUGGCGCCAUCACAGCUCACUGCAGCCUGGAUUUCCCGCUCUCAAACCAUCCAGCCCUCAGCCUCCCAAGUAGCGGGGACCACAGGUGCAAGCCACCAUGCCCGACUAAUUUUUUUUUUUUUUUGUAUUUUUAGUAGAGAUGGGGUUUCACCAUGUUGGCAAGGCUGGUCUCCAACUGCUGGCCUCAAGUGAUCCUUGCCCGCCUCGGCCUCCCAAAGUGCUGGGAUCACAGGCGUGAGCCACCGCGCCCCUCUACGUUUUUAUUUAUUCCUAAUAACUACUUUAUUGUGAUUCUUAAAGAGCUUUAACUUUUCUUGAGAUAAUUUUAAACUCACAGGAAAGGUGAAGAAUAAUACCAAGAGAGACUAACAGCAGGACGGCAUGAAGAGCUCGGGAUUCACCCCUAGUGAAACUGAAAAUUAUUUAAAACAACAAACAACCAUUAACCAUUUAAAGCCUUUGAAAUGGUCCUAAGGGCAAACAGCAAAUGAAGAAACAUCUGUUCCAAAAAAUCUAUGAAAACUCUUGGAUCAGAAUCUCCCAGUCAGAGACCAGCAUAUCAGCAUUUCUCAUCUUGCCCCUAGCUACCUGAUGCUGAAGGUAAAUCCUGGGGGAGUGUGGUGGAGAGGUGGGAGAUUCCUUCUUCCAUCCAGAGGCUCUACCUUGGGUGGAGUGCUGAGACACCAGAGGAGACUUCAGCUCUUUUUCUCCAUCACUUUCACCCCAUAUUCACCCCCAACCUUUUUUUUUAAUCUCUCCAUCUUCCCAAG